rnacentral:rRNA from 1 species
AUUGAACGCUGGCGGCGUGCCUAACACAUGCAAGUCGAGCGGUAACAGGUGUAGCAAUACAUGCUGACGAGCGGCGAACGGGUGAGUAAUGCUUUGGAAUCUUCCCAGUAGUGGGGAAUAACCAGUCGAAAGAUUGGCUAAUACCGCAUACGUCUGUAAAGGGAAAGCGGGGGACUCGCCUCUUCUUCGGAAGAGAGGCCUCGCGCUAUUGGAUGAGCCAAAGCGGAUUAGCUAGUUGGUGGGGUAAUGGCCUACCAAGGCGACAAUCCGUAGCUGGUCUGAGAGGACGACCAGCCACACCGGAACUGAGACACGGUCCGGACUCCUACGGGAGGCAGCAGUGGGAAUAUUGGACAAUGGGGAAACCCUGAUCCAGCGACGCCGCGUGUGUGAAGAAGGCCUGCGGGUUGUAAAGCACUUUUAGUGGGGACAAAAGCUACGGAUUAAUACUCUGUGGUCUUGAUUUAACCUACAGAAAAGCACCGGCUAACUCUGUGCCAGCCGCC